rnacentral:rRNA from 1 species
AACGAACGCUGGCGGCGUGGAUAAGACAUGCAAGUCGAACGGGACAGACCGAGUAGCAAUAUUUGGAAUGUUCAGUGUCGAACGGGUGCGUAACCCGUGGAUAACAUUCCGGAAAGCGGGGAAUAGCCCAGGGAAACUUGGAUUAAUACCGCAUGUGGCCGCAAGGCUAAAGACGGGGACCGCAAGGCCUGUCACUUUCCGAUUGGUCGGCGGCCUAUCAGCUAGUUGGCGGGGUAAUGGCCCACCAAGGCUACGACGGGUAGCUGGUCUUAGAGGACGACCAGCCACACUGGAACUGAGACACGGUCCAGACACCUACGGGUGGCAGCAGUCGAGAAUCUUUCACAAUGGGGGCAACCCUGAUGGAGCGACGCCACGUGGAGGAUAAGGUCUUCGGAUUGUAAACUCCUGGCAUGCGAGAACAAGGUACUCAGGCUAAUAACCUGAUUGUUUGAUGGUACCGCAAGAGGAAGAGACGGCUAACUCUGUGCCAGCAGCCGCCGUAACAC